UGCCAGCAGCCGCGGUAAUACGAAGGGUGCUAGCGUUGUUCGGAAUUACUGGGCGUAAAGCGCGCGUAGGCGGAUUAGUCAGUUGGGGGUGAAAGCCCGGAGCUCAACUCCGGAAUUGCCUUCAAUACUACUAGUCUUGAGUUCGAGAGAGGGUGGUGGAAUUCCCAGUGUAGAGGUGAAAUUCGUAGAUAUUGGGAAGAACACCAGUGGCGAAGGCGGCCAUCUGGACGGGUACUGACGCUGAGACGCGAAAGCGUGGGGAGCAAACAGGAUUAGAUA
rnacentral:rRNA from 1 species